rnacentral:rRNA from 1 species
CAAUAGCGUAUAUUAAAGUUGUUGCAGUUAAAAAGCUCGUAGUUGGAUUUCUGGUAGGAGCGACCGUGCCGAACUUGAUUGUUCGAGUAUUGUGUUGUCUUCAGCCAUCCUCGUGGAGAACCUUUCUAACAUUAACUUGUUGGGAUUGGGACCCGCGUCGUUUACUGUGAAAAAAUUAGAGUGUUUAAAGCAGGCAUUAGCUUGAAUACAUUAGCAUGGAAUAAUAAGAUAGGACUUUGGUACUAUUUUGUUGGUUUGCAUACCAAAUUAAUGAUCAACAGGAACAGUUUGAGGAUAUUCGUAUGAACAUGUCAGAGGUGAAAUUCUUGGAUUUUGAUCAGACGAACUACUGCGAAAGCAUUUAUCAAGGAUGUUUUCAUUAA